CAUGCCACAGCAGUGACCUGAGUUGCUGCAGUGACAAUGCCAGAUCCUUCACCCACUGUGUCACAAGGGAACUCCUCUAUCCAUUUUUUGUUUGUUUGUUUGUUUGUUUUGUCAUUGAGAGGGCAUCAGCCUCAUAGCAAGGGAAGGCUUCAAGCCACCAAACCAAAAAAUGGGGCUUUCCAGGAAUCAAGAGCCAAGUAGCCCUCUUGGGUUUUCUAUAUCUCUGACUGUUUCAUUUACAGCUAUGGUUUACCCAUCUUCAUUUCUCUGAUUAAGGAAUCUGCAAAGACAUCAGGAUGGCAAAACUCUGACAAUGAGGGGUUAAUUUUUGAAGUAGUAGGAUGGACUUUAUGUACAAGUGUCAUACUCUUUACAGAUUCUCUUGUUGCCUCUGCAUGAAAGUCAGCUAGUGCAUUUCUCUAAAACAUGGGUUAAGUCCCUUUAGUGUGAGCCCCAAUUUCGAUAACAGAUAACAUUGUAUGUCAAGACAUAUAAGAUUUCCAGGAAUUUCACAUAAUUUCUGAAAAACUUCGUAUUUAUAUAGACAUAACAUAAAGAUGGCUUAAAGUUACCUUUUCGUUGAUAAGGCUUCCCAUAUAAUUUCACAUACCAAAGAAACCUCAUUAGUUUAAUAUCUCUCUUGAGAUGCUUCAGGACAAAAAUCACUUUCUUUUCCCUUAACAAAAUGCAUUUCCAUUUUUUAUAUGUUCUUUUUUUAAAUGCAUACCUUAUUUUACUUGCAUAUUGAAAUGGUUUCCUUAUUAUUUCUAGUAACUUUAAUUAUAUACAAAUAUGUAUCUUAUAAUUGUUAAGUACAGUAAUAUUUAAGUAUACAUUAUAAUUUUUAACGCUUAAAAAGUUUUCAUCUCUAGCCAAAACCAAGAAGCAAGCACUUGUUAACUGUUUGUCACACCAGCAUUUCCUAAUGGGCAAAUUUAUGAACAUAUUCCAUAACCUCUAGAAACAUAUUUUCUUAUAGUAUAAUUUUUCCUUCAAUGUGGUACAAGAUGUGUGUCCAAUAAACCCAAACAUUUUUAAUUUUUCUCUAAUAAGAACACAAAGUAUUUAAACUUAGACUUCUUUACCAAUUAAUGUUUCAUUAUUUUAUCUUAAUUGGAAAUGAUCUGGAUAUUCAGUGAAUUCCCAUCAUUUAAUUUUAGCAAAAAAAGUUUCAAGCUACCAAAAGUCCAGAAAAACUAUUUUAAAGUAUGUAGAGCAUAAAUUCUUAGAGAGUUCGCUUAAAAACUUUUGUCCCAUUUAUUUCAUUUCUUAGGAAAAUAUCAUCAUACCAAGUUAAUUUUCUUGUGGCCAACUUUUAUAACAGAGAUAUUGACAAGAGGUUAUUGACUUGUAGUAAACCUAAGUCAAAUAAAAGUAUUGUACUUUGUGUUGAUGAUUCUAAAGACAAGUCUGUAUUAAUCAAACCAACAACUUAAACUUGUUUUCAUACAUUUAAGUUUAAUGCUAGAUCACACGAUCUUUUAAAAAUUUCAGUUAGCUUUUUGUUAUAUUUAGACAUAUUUUACUUGUAAGUGCUUACUUUUAAGUCAAUUAAAUAGAGCUUUUUUGUGAAUUAAUUUUGAUAAUAUCAUCCAGAAGUAGAAACAUACCAUAUUUACAACAAACACACAGACAUAACUCCAGAUAGACAUAAGCAGAGAUUUUAGUUUUCCUGCUUGAAUUUUAUUUUGUUUUAUUUAUUUAUUUUUUUUCCUGCUUGAAUUUUAAAAGCUCUCUUUUCUCUUUUUUUUUUUUUUUCUUUCAGUUUUACAGUCUACUAAUUGAGCCAAGGCUGUAGUCUCAGGCAGUGAGUAGUGUUUGCAUUUCAAGGACAGGAUAAUAGUUGUAACUUCAAAUUUUCUCCUAGGAGCCCUUUUGUUCUCUAAGGGUCCAGAAUUUUGAAAAGAUGUUUUUAUUAAGCCAAAUUUCUCUGAUUGAAUAUGCAGGGGGAAAAAAAAACCAAUUUGGGAAUGUCAAAAUAACUCUGUCCUGGCCAUUUUAGGGUCAGAUAAGUACUUGCGGUAUUGGCUUUGUAUCUAUUGUACACAAAGCCAGCCGAAGUUCUAGUAGGUGGCUGCCUGUCUGGGAGCCUGUAGGCUUUAGAAGCCCAGUUUCUUACAUGUAGUUUUAUUUUAUUAUGAAGUGCAAAUCUUUCCAGUUUGAGGCUCUUUGAAAAAAAGGUCAACCAACCCAGUUCAAUCCAAAAUACCUCCUAGGCCUCCCUGCCUAGAAAGUCCCUCUAGAUUCCUUGCCUAGAAAGAAGUUCCUCGAGAUCCUCUGCCUGGAAAAUUCCCUCUAGGUCUCUUUUAUCUAGGAAAUGUACGAGUACCCCCUUAAGGCCCCACAUCUUAAGAUAAUACCCCAGAUAAAAGUCAUGGACUGUCACUUAAUACAAGGAGAUCCAAAUAUCAGGAGAAACAAAAAACUCACCGAGGCUCCUAAAGCUGCUGUGAAGCCAGGGUGGGGUAGGAGACGGGGCUUAAGGAGCCAUACUUCCUACUGAGUGCUGGUCCAAACUAGUCUCCAGGUGACUUCAGGUAGGCUUUUCUGGCCAAUUUACAACCCCACCAACAGUGUACUAAGGUUCCCUUUUCUCCAAACCCUCUCCAGCACUUACGGUUUGUAGACUUUUUGAUGAUGGCCAUUCUGGCUGGUGUAAGGUGGUACCUCAGAGUGGAUUUGAUUUGCAUUUCUCUAAUCAUGAGUGAUGUUGAACAUCUCGUCAUGUGUUUUUUGGCCAUCUGUGUGUCUUUGGAGAUUUGUCUGUUUAGAUCUUCUGCCCAUUUUUUUGAUGGUGUUGUUUGUUUGUUCGGUAUUGAGCGGUAGGAGGUGUUUAUAAAUUUUGGAGGUGAAUCCCUUGUGAGUUGAUUCAUUUGAAAAGCCUUGAUGGUGUGGUUGUUUUACCUCCUCCACUUGGUGUUCUCCUUCCAGUUUGUAGAUACCACCUAACACUUUGUUUUUAACAUAGACAUCACUUCUGAUCAGUGAACCCUUUUUUUAAAUGAUUAAAGCAGAUUACAGAGUAUGUUUAAUAAGGCCACACAUGCUGCUGGCAUUGGGCCUCUGUUCACUGGUGCUAAAUAGAAACCAGGAGACAGAAUUUUGGGGGAAAGAGACAAAUAACUUUAUUGCUUUGCCAGGCAAAGGGGGCCAGAGCAGGCUAAUGUCCUAAAGACUGUGCCCCUGCUUGGGAAAGAUUGUCAGGUGAAAAAUAGGGCCAUUCAUAAAGAUCAGACUAGGUGAGAGCUUGCUUUGUUUUUCAAAGCUGAUGUUUAGGUGGCCCCAGGAUUGGUUCUGAUGAUCCUUCUUUUGGAAUGAAGAACACCUCAUUAAUAUCUUCCAUUUGUUGGGGAUUUCAGUUUGUGGAAGAACUCAAAGAUACUGUUAUGUAUACUCCUUGAGGAGGAACCAGGACCCUGCCCCAAGGCAGCACUAUUGUCUCUAGACUGUUUCUCCCAGGUCUCUGCAUCCCUUCUCUGAUUAGCAACCAUAUGAACCUGCUUUUUGGAACUCAGGGAAUGUCACGAAGCCUCAAGUCCAUUCCCCAAAAACAAGAAAUGGGGGACACAGAAAAGCUUAUGUGCCCAGGAGCCCCAAAGGACCCCACUCUGUUGCACACACAGACUAUUUUAGUUUUAGCAUCAAAAGUCCUAUAUAAGCCAGAAUAACUUCCCCACACCUCAGUAUAUGAAAAUUUCUUCUGUCAUGGUAUGCCUGGGUUUGUUAGUGGUAGAAGAUCUUGCAUAUAACCAACUCUCCAAUAAGUGCCAGCUUUAUAGAAUUUAAAUUCAAUUUAUUUCUAUAAUAUUUGUACCUUACAGAUAUUGGAUACCUAUUAAAAUAUAAAAUUUAAAACAGUUAAUUAUGAUAGCACCCAAAGAGUGGAGGGUGGCAGACAGCCACUAAGGACAAAUAGAUGUCCCCAAAGGCAGCAUAGGUAAGUGAGACCAGCUUAUGGCUUGACAAGAUUUCUCAUCCAAAUAUGAUGUGAGGUCCUUGGAUAGAUGACCUGUCCUCAGAAUCCCUCUCUCCUUCUACUGUCCCAUGGUGUCAAAACUCUUCCCUGCCGAUCUUUUAGAUUUAGAAUAAUUCUCUCUAGAAGGCACAUGUAAUAGGUAUGCUGCCUGGAAUUGCCCAUGUAGCCUCCCUCAGCAUCUGAUUCUUUCGUGAGGUCCACUUCCAGCGCUGAGGACUCUGAGGGGCCUUUCGAUGUGGGGGUCUGUGGGGCGAUGAGCCCCACCCACUCUGGGGUGAGGAGGAUAAGUCUUACCACCAUACACCCAGAUUGCAAAGCGUGGGAACAACAGCUGUCUGGAGCUGCCUUCUUCUCCAUUCUCCACCCCCCCACCCCUUGCUCUGGAAAGGUACUGCUUUAUUACAGUUUUACAGUGAAGGAAAAGGAAAAUGGUAGAAAAUUAAAAAAAAAAAAAACAGAUAAAAAGGAAGGGGAGCAGGGGAAAAAUGAAGCUGUAUGAUAUGGAAGAGGGAACGACUGAGUGAACUUAGCAUUUGAAAAAUAUGUCAAACCAUAGCUUAAAACCUUAAAGAUUUUGUCUUCUAACUGUAAGUUUGGCUGAAAAGACAAGACCCGAGUUCAGGCAUAAAAGACUUUAUUAGCGGGGAAUACUGCUGGCCUGACUCACAAAGGGAGGUCAGCAGUCAGCCUGUUGUAGGAGGGAGGUUAUAUGUGGGUGCCAAGAAAGGGGAUUUCUGUGCAGAAGCUGAUUGGCCAUUUCUUAUGCAAAUAGGGUGAAAAGGAACAGACCAAUCAGCUUGGGAGAAUUAUUAGUAGGCUAUGAACAGAAGUUUAGACAUUCUCCUGGGUGAGGUAGUCGCUAAGACUGGGUCACAUGAUUUCCGGGAAGACUUGGUUGGUCAUGUCUUAGUCAUGUGUCUCCAAGAGCUAGGCGAGAGACUAGCGCUGUCUUGUUUUUACUGGGACAAGCUUAACACUAACCACCCACACCUCCCAGCCACCCAUGCUGAAAUAUUUCUGUGAGAGUCUUUCUUUCUCUUUUCUUGAUUUUUUUGUCUUUAGUUCUAGAGUAAUUGAGUUGAACCUUUAAUUUUGAUAUUUGUCUUAAAAGUAUUGUUGCAGGAAUUCCCUGGUGUCCUGGAGGGUUAAGGAUCCAGUGUUGUCAUAGCUAUGGUGUGGGUUUGAUCCCUGGCCUGGUAACUUUCACAUGCCAAAAGUGUAGC
rnacentral:lncRNA from 1 species